ACUCAAAUGAAUAGACGGGGACCCGCACAAGCAGCGGAGCAUGUGGUUUAAUUCGAAGCAACGCGAAGAACCUUACCAGGGCUUGACAUCCCCCUGACGUCACCGUAACGGGUGAUUCUUUCGGGCAGGGGAGACAGGUGGUGCAUGGUUGUCGUCAGCUCGUGUCGUGAGAUGUUGGGUUAAGUCCCGCAACGAGCGCAACCCUUGUCAUUAGUUGCCAUCAUUAAGUUGGGCACUCUAAUGAGACUGCCGGGGAUAACUCGGAGGAAGGUGGGGAUGACGUCAAAUCAUCAUGCCCCUUAUGUUCUGGGCUACACACGUGCUACAAUGGCCGGUACAACGAGACGCAAGAGAGCGAUCUGGAGCAAAUCUCAAAAACCGGCCCCAGUUCGGAUUGCAGGCUGAAACCCGCCUGCAUGAAGCCGGAGUUGCUAGUAAUCGCGGAUCAGAAUGCCGCGGUGAAUGCGUUCCCGGGUCUUGUACACACCGCCCGU
rnacentral:rRNA from 1 species